rnacentral:rRNA from 1 species
AAACCCAAAAGAUCGAAUGGGGAGAUUCAUCGCAAGCGUGGCCGGCUUCCGUGCGGUUCGCGAUGGCCGGGACCUCGGUCUCGCGUCACGCGUCCGCUGCGGUAUGCCCGGUUACGUCGGCGUGCACUUCUCCCCUAGUAGGACGUCGCGACCCGUUGGGUGUCGGACCGAUGGCCGUUUGGUCGCCUGUCUCGUCGCGUUCACGCGUGCACGUGGCAGACCGAAAUGGUCGAGCGUCCGGCUGCCCGGCGGUAUAGAACGCUUAAGAUUGGUAAUGAGCCGCAUUAAGUGCGUUCAGGCUCGUCGGCAGGCUCGUCUCGCCCGGAUUUACGGACCUAGCGCCGUUGCCGGGUGCUUGGCGCGGCCGUUAGUCGACGAUGUCCUCGGACUGGCUCUGAAAUUCGAAAGGAUUACCGGUCGGCGACGCUACUGCUUUGGGUACUUUCAGGACCCGUCUUGAAACACGGA